AUCUUCUUUUCCAGCAGUAGCAGCAGCAGCAAUAGCUUUCAAACGUUGUUGUGUAAUGUUUUUGUAUGUCAGGCAGGCAGAUUAAGGGAUGAUUUGCCAGUUUUGAUUAGUUAUGAGAGGAGAUGAUGAUGUCACAGCUUCAGGCAAUCUGUAGAUGAUGGAGUCAUUUGACUGCAGCCAUGCUGGAGCACCGCCUUUAGUCGAGCAACUCGACCCCAGGACUUAUUCUUUUGAUUUGACUGUGGCCAUGCUGGAACACCACCUUUCGUCAAACAUAUCGAUCCCAGAACUUAUUCUUUGUAAGCGUAGUACUUAUUCUAUCAAUCUCUUUUACUGAACCACUAAGUUACGGGGGCGUAAACACACCAGCAUAGAUUGUCAAGCGAUGGUGGAGGGGGACAAUCAAACAUAUACACAAACAGACACACAAACAUAUACACACAUGCAUACAUAUACAUACAUACAUAUAUAUAUAUAUAUAUAUAUAUAUAUAUAUUUACAAUGGGCUUCUUUCAGUUUUGGACUACCAAAUCCACUCACAAGGCUUUCAUCAGCCUGAGGCUAUAAUAGAAGACACUUGCCCAUACAGGGGGACUGAACCCGGAACCAUGUGGUUGGUAAGCAAGCUACUUACCACACAGCCAUGACACAUAAAAGAAGUCAUGCAAGUGACACAUAGAAGCACCAGUGCCAGUGACAUAUAAACACACCCAUGCUAGUGACAUGUAAGAGGCACACACUACAUUCUUGGAGUAGUUAGCAUUAGGAAGAGCAUCUAGCCAUAAAAACCAAACCAAAAUCAGACUAGAACAUGGUGCAGCCUUCUAGCUUACCAUUUCCAGUCAAACCAUCUAACCCAUGCCGGCAUGGAAAGUAGAUGAUGAUGAAUAAGUUAUAUAUUAUAUAUUAUUUAUGUGUGUAUGUGUGUGUGUAUGUAUGUGUGCACAUACACACACAAUGCAUCUCUGGUUAGGUUAAUGCCUAUACGUAAAAAAGGUAUAUAUGUGUAUGUGUAUGCAUAUGGACAUGCCUGUAUGCAUGUGAGGUGUGUGUUUUGUGUUCAUGUGCAGUUGUGUGUACAUGUGUGUGCACGUGUGUGUGUACCUGCAACUGGAAGCCAGUGGAGUGAGAGAGAGGAAACACUUUACAAUCAUUAGUUCAUUAAUAAACAUGCAAGUCAUCUGCAAGUGAAUGGACCAAAUUGCUUUGGUUCUGAUGUGGCAUCAAAUUGAAGAAUAUUGUCUGAUGCAGAUGUCCCAGAAGACUAUUUUGCUAGAGAAUUUCCUGUCUAAUAGACACUUGCAGCCAAAUGAAAUUCAAAUGAAUAGUUUAGCUGUUGUGAUCUUCAGAAGCAGAGACAUUGAAGAAGAAUUGAAUAUAUCAAAUGAGAUUAUUUAUAUAGAAA